AUGAACGCUGGCGGCGUGCCUAAUCCCUGCAAGUCGCGCGAACAGACGAGGAGCUUGCUCCUCUGACGUUAGCGGCGGACGGGUGAGUAACACGUGGAUAACCUACCUAUAAGACUGGGAUAACUUCGGGAAACCGGAGCUAAUACCGGAUAAUAUAUUGAACCGCAUGGUUCAAUAGUGAAAGACGGUUUUGCUGUCACUUAUAGAUGGAUCCGCGCCGCAUUAGCUAGUUGGUAAGGUAACGGCUUACCAAGGCGACGAUGCGUAGCCGACCUGAGAGGGUGAUCGGCCACACUGGAACUGAGACACGGUCCAGACUCCUACGGGAGGCAGCAGUAGGGAAUCUUCCGCAAUGGGCGAAAGCCUGACGGAGCAACGCCGCGUGAGUGAUGAAGGUCUUCGGACCGUAAAACUCUGUUAUUAGGGAAGAACAAAUGUGUAAGUAACUAUGCACGUCUUGACGGUACCUAAUCAGAAAGCCACGGCUAACUACGUG
rnacentral:rRNA from 1 species